UACGAGAGACGCUGGCGGCGUGCCUAACACAUGCAAGUCGAACGGGGAUUUGUUUCGGCAGAAUCCUAGUGGCGAACGGGUGAGUAACGCGUAGGCAACCUGCCCUCCGGCCGGGGGACAACACUCCGAAAGGGGUGCUAAUACCGGAUACGAAGUCUGUGCCGCAUGGUACGGAUUUGAAAGAUGGCCUCUAUUUAUAAGCUAUCGCCGGGGGAUGGGCCUGCGUCCGAUUAGCUGGUUGGUGGGGUAACGGCCUACCAAGGCGACGAUCGGUAGCCGGUCUGAGAGGAUGAACGGCCACAUUGGGACUGAGACACGGCCCAGACUCCUACGGGAGGCAGCAGUGGGGAAUCUUCCGCAAUGGGCGCAAGCCUGACGGAGCAACGCCGCCGUGAGUGAGGAAGUUCUUCGGAACGUAAAGCUCUGUUGUUCCUGACGAACCUCCCCUUUAUCAACAACGGAGGGGACUGACGGUAGGGAACGAGGAAGCCACGGCUAACUACGUGCCAGCAGCCGC
rnacentral:rRNA from 1 species